rnacentral:rRNA from 1 species
CGGUAACAGCUCAAAUUUGAAAUCUGGCUCUUUCAGGGUCCGAGUUGUAAUUUGUAGAAGAUGCUUUGGGUGUGGCCCUGGUCUAAGUUCCUUGGAACAGGAUGUCAUAGAGGGUGAGAGCCCCGUGUCCAGGUGGAUGCCUUUGCCAUGUGAAGCUCCUUCGAC